GGUAGUCCACCCCGUAAACGUUGGGAACUAGUUGUGGGGACCAUUCCACGGUUUCCGUGACGCAGCUAACGCAUUAAGUUCCCCGCCUGGGGAGUACGGCCGCAAGGCUAAAACUCAAAGGAAUUGACGGGGACCCGCACAAGCGGCGGAGCAUGCGGAUUAAUUCGAUGCAACGCGAAGAACCUUACCAAGGCUUGACAUACACCAGAACACCGUAGAAAUACGGGACUCUUUGGACACUGGUGAACAGGUGGUGCAUGGUUGUCGUCAGCUCGUGUCGUGAGAUGUUGGGUUAAGUCCCGCAACGAGCGCAACCCUCGUUCUAUGUUGCCAGCACGUAAUGGUGGGAACUCAUGGGAUACUGCCGGGGUCAACUCGGAGGAAGGUGGGGAUGACGUCAAAUCAUCAUGCCCCUUAUGUCUUGGGCUUCACGCAUGCUACAAUGGCCGGUACAAAGGGCUGCAAUACCGUGAGGUGGAGCGAAUCCCAAAAAGCCGGUCCCAGUUCGGAUUGAGGUCUGCAACUCGACCUCAUGAAGUCGGAGUCGCUAGUAAUCGCAGAUCAGCAACGCUGCGGUGAAUACGUUCCCGGGUCUUGUACACACCGCCCGUCAAGUCAUGAAAGUCGGUAACACCUGAAGCCGGUGGCCCAACCCUUGUGGAGGGAGUCGUCGAAGGUGGGAUCGGUAAUUAGGACUAAGUCGUAACAAGGUAGCCGUACCGGAAGGUGC
rnacentral:rRNA from 1 species